GGAGGGGUGGCAGAGCGGACGAAUGCGGCGGUCUUGAAAACCGCUUCCCGACUCGUCGGGACGGGGGUUCGAAUCCCUCCCCCUCCG
rnacentral:tRNA from 1 species